rnacentral:misc_RNA from 1 species
CCAAUAGCGUAUAUUAAAGUUGUUGUGGUUAAAAAGCUCGUAGUUGAACCUUGGGCCUGGCUGGCCGGUCCGCCUCACCGCGUGUACUGGUCCGGCCGGGCCUUUCCCUCUGUGGAACCUCAUGCCCUUCACUGGGUGUGACGGGGAAGCAGGACUUUUACUGUGAAAAAAUUAGAGUGCUCCAAGCAGGCCUAUGCUCGAAUACAUUAGCAUGGAAUAAUAAAAUAGGACGUGCGGUUCUAUUUUGUUGGUUUCUAGGACCGCCGUAAUGAUUAAUAGGGACAGUCGGGGGCAUCAGUAUUCAAUUGUCAGAGGUGAAAUUCUUGGAUUUAUUGAAGACUAACUACUGCGAAAGCAUUUGCCAAGGAUGUUUUCAUUAAUCAGUGAACGAAAGUUAGGGGAUCGAAGACGAUCAGAUACCGUCGUAGUCUUAACCAUAAACUAUGCCGACUAGGGAUCCGUCGGCGUUAAUUUAUGACUCGACGGGCAGCUUCCG